rnacentral:rRNA from 1 species
AAAUGACUCUCGGCAACGGAUAUCUCGGCUCUCGCAUCGAUGAAGAACGUAGCGAAAUGCGAUACUUGGUGUGAAUUGCAGAAUCCCGUGAACCAUCGAGUCUUUGAACGCAAGUUGCGCCCGAAGCCACCAGGCCGAGGGCACGUCUGCCUGGGCGUCACGC